UACCAGCACCCCGAGUGGUCGGGACGUUUAUUGGGCCUAAAGCAUCCGUAGCCGGUUCUACAAGUCUUCCGUUAAAUCCAGCUGCUUAACAGAUGGGCUGCGGAAGAUACUAUGGAGCUAGGAGGCGGGGGAGGCAAGCGGUACUCGAUGGGUAGGGGUAAAAUCCGUUGAUCCAUUGAAGACCACCAGUGGCGAAGGCGGCUUGCCAGAACGCGCUCGACGGUGAGGGAUGAAAGCUGGGGGAGCAAACCGG
rnacentral:rRNA from 1 species